rnacentral:rRNA from 1 species
UGGGGGAUAUUGCACAAUGGGCGAAAGCCUGAUGCAGCGACGCCGCGUGGGGGAUGAAGGCUUUCGGGUUGUAAACCUCUUUCGCUAUCGAACAAGGCCCGCUUAGGGUGGGUUGAGGGUAGGUGGAGAAGAAGCGCCGGCUAACUACGUGCCAGCAGCCGCGGUAAUACGUAGGGCGCGAGCGUUGUCCGGAAUUAUUGGGCGUAAAGGGCUUGUAGGCGGCUUGUUGCGCCUGCUGUGAAAACGCGGGGCUUAACUUCGCGCGUGCAGUGGGUACGGGCAGGCUUGAGUGUGUUAGUGGUGACUGGAAUUCCAGGUGUAGCGGUGGAAUGCGCAGAUAUCUGGAGGAACACCGAUGGCGAAGGCAGGUCACUGGGCCAUUACUGACGCUGAGGAGCGAAAGCAUGGGUAGCGAACAGG